UACGAAGGGGGCUAGCGUUGUUCGGAAUUACUGGGCGUAAAGGGCGCGUAGGCGGUACUUCAAGUCAGGCGUGAAAGCCCCGGGCUCAACCUGGGAACCGCGCUUGAGACCGAAGAACUAGAGUUCGGGAGAGGAUGGUGGAAUUCCCAGUGUAGAGGUGAAAUUCGUAGAUAUUGGGAAGAACACCGAUGGCGAAGGCAGCCAUCUGGACCGACACUGACGCUGAGGCGCGAAAGCGUGGGGAGCAAACAGG
rnacentral:rRNA from 1 species